rnacentral:tRNA from 1 species
GCGGACGUGGUGGAAUUGGUAUACACAGCAGACUUAAAAUCUGCCGGCCCUAGGCUAUACGGGUUCAAGUCCCGUCGUCCGCACCA